AGCAUGAAGGCAGCAAAUCUCCUAUGCUUCAACCCCUUGUCGUUGCUGAAUCUUGUUAUUUCACCAUGCUACUCAUUAGCUAAAUAGCUAGUUCCUGUGAGCUGUUGUUUGUCAAGGUUGGCAUGGUGCACAGUAGCUACUAGCUAGUUCUAGACGAUUUUAAUUUCUUGACGGGGAAUAUUACAGGUGGUGUUUGAAUUUCAUGAAGAUAAAGAUAAAGUGUUUCACGUAAAACGAGGUGGUAAUAACGUGUGAUUAAUUGAGUUUUAAUUGUUACAAACUUAAAAAAUAUAUUAAUAUAAUAUUUUAGAGCAACUUUCAUAUAGAAAGUUUUCGCGCGAAACAUACC
rnacentral:sRNA from 1 species